AUUGAACGCUGGCGGCAGGCCUAACACAUGCAAGUCGAACGAGUGGCGGACGGGUGAGUAAUGUCUUGGAAACUGCCUGAUGGAGGGGGAUAACUACUGGAAACGGUAGCUAAUACCGCAUACCAUCAGAUGUGCCCAGGUGGGAUUAGCUAGUUGGUGGGGUAACGGCUCACCAAGGCGACGAGCCCUAGCUGGUCUGAGAGGAUGACAAGCCGUACUGGGACUGAGACAGGGUCCAGACUCCUAGGGGAGGCAGCAGUGGGGAAUCUGGAACAAUGGGCGCAAGCUUGAGGCAGCCAGGCCGCGUGUAUGAAGAAGGCCUUCGGGGUGUAAAGUACUGUCAGCGGGGAUGCGUUACCCGCAGAAGAAGCACCGGCUAACUCCGUGCCAGCAGCCGCGGUAAUUC
rnacentral:rRNA from 1 species